AGACAACCUGGGUGUCAGAAUUUCUGAGGUUAAGUUUGGGUCGCCGAGCAAAGACCUCCCGGAGUCCAGGAAACAUGUAUUGAGCAUCUGCUGCGUGCCAGGCCCUGGGAAGAUGGCUGGAGCCAUGGAAGUGAAAAGAUAGUCCCCACAUCCUUGCCUUAUUGGAGUGCACGUGCUAGCAGGACCCAUCGUGACUGAAAUGGAAUUUCAGGUGAAGAAAGGGGCCACAAAAAGAACACCUUGCUGAGGAGGGAGGCUGAAGUGAAGAAUUGGAGGAGGUCUGAAGUGAUGAGCCAGGUGUGGAGGUUGUGGGGCCACCACAGACCCCUGGAGGGGCACCUGCCUGCCAGGGUUCAGCCUUGCCGAGAGUUACACAGAAUUUUAGAAGACUCCACCCCUGGUGGGCCUUUCCUCUCGAAACCAGUCUCUUUCUAUUAAAGUCACACACUAAGCAAAUCCUGAGAGGAAGAGGUACCGUUUCCCUGCCAUCCAUCCUGCCCAGCCCUCUCCCCAACUCACCAUCAGUCCUUCCACAAUCCCGAAUCGCUCAUGAAUGACCUUGGCAAGGGGGGCCAGGCAGUUGGUGGUGCAGGAUGCAUUGCUGAAACAGCCCGGUAUGCAAGGGAACUGUGAGGCUGGCAUGUUCUCUGGACAUCACCCACCCACUUCUGGAUGUUGCUGUCCGUUACCUGACAACUUUCAUGGAACCAGGAUUAUAGUCCUUUUCAUUCACCCCCAUGACAAACAUGGGUGCAUCUGGUGAGGGUGCGCUGAUGACCACACGAAAGGCACCUGCCUGGAUGUGGUUCUAGGGAAGGAGGAAGGAACACUGGUGUCAUGAAUUUAUGAGAUGCUUUGAGUGUCACACCCCCUGGCCAGCCCUGCCCACUUCUCCCCCACUUACGGAAGCUUCCUCUUGGGACAGGUACACUCCUGUGGACUCUACCACAUAGGGGCUCCCGACAGAUUUCCAAGGGAUCUCUUUGGGCAGCUUGCUGUGGAGAGGUGGCAGGGCUGUGUAUCAGUCUCCCUUGCAUGGCCUUGCCUUCAUAGUCCCUGGCCUUUACUGUUUGAAAGGCUGACUAGACACCUUCCCACCUGGCCUGUAACCAUUCUCUUCUCCCCACCCCACACAUACUUAGCUAUCCCAGGUAGAUUUGACCCUGCUAGCCUUGCCUCUUGGCAGCUUGCUUAGGAGGGAGGCUGAAAGCUUUCCAGACCAAAGGAGCAGCAAGUGCAAAGAUUCGGAGGCAGGAGAUCUGACUUUCCCAGCCCUGCAGUUCCUAUCUUGAUACACUGCGAGCAGCUCUUGUGGGCUACUACCUUGACUGCCCUUCCCCUGCUAUGCCCUGGUAUAUACAAGUUGCCACCUCCCCUACUCAGGCUCAUUCACCCUCUGUCUCCAGGGGACCACCCCUGACUACUGCCAACCAGGUCAGGCCCUUUCUCCAUAUGUUGCCUAGAAUGUAGACUCCAGAAGGGCGAGGCCUGCUGCACUGCUUCGGAUUCCCUGCCCUCUCAACCUCACCGUGGCCCUCCUUGCCUCUUGUCUCUGUCACUCAGCUUCUGCAACAGGGAGCCUACUGCCAGAGGCUGAGCAAGUCCCUGAAGACAGGCACUACAUCCUGGGAGCAAUGGGGGAGAGGGAUGGAACUGUAGCCUCAGGCUACCCUGGGGUCAGCAGUGGUUAGAGUUUUACAUCAGAAAGGUCAAGGCCUUUUUGGUUUCCACUUUUAUAAAUUUACUAGAGGCCCAGUGCACGAAUUUGUGCACGGGUGGGGUCCUUCUGCCUGGCCGGCAAUUGAGGCCUAUUGGGGGGCUGGCCGGCUGGGAGGAGGGGCCGCAGGUGGUUGGCUGUGGGAGUGCACUGACCAUCAGGGGGCAGCUCCUGUGUUGAGUGUCUGCUCCCCUAGUGGUCAGUGUGCAUCAUAGCAACUGGUUGACCGGUCAUUCAUGUUGUUUGGUUGUAACAGUCGCUUAGGCUUUUAUAUAUAUAGACAUUUUUACUUGGUAGUUUUAUCUAAAGUUUGCAUUUGGAACAUUAAAUAUUAUUGCUGUUUUCUA